CAGCAAAAGCAAUUGCAAGCUUUUCGCUAUGGUGUUUCAAAUUAUAUUCCUUUUCCUCACUGUCCAUGUCAUGCAUAUCAGCGCCCGUAUCAGGGACAUAGCCCCGUAGCUUCAUCUCUGAUGUUAGUUCUUCCAAAUACAAAUCAAUCUCCAUCGAAAUUGGAUGAGAUUUGUCGCCCAUGGUAAACUGAUGAACUUGAUUCUUUAUUUCUAACCAGCUUACACCUGGUUCCUUCUUCACAUUCCUCUCUCUCAUGGCCUCUCUAAACUCGGAAACACCCUGCCACCUCUUAGCAGAAGCAUGAAUGUUAGAAAGCAACACAUAAGGAGCCGCAUCCUGAGGAUUAAGUCCAAGAAUUUCUUCAGCGAUUCUUCCAGCCAUAUCAGUACUCUUAUGGGUUUUACAUGCGGAUAACAAAGUUUUCCAUAUGAUAGCAUCGGCUUUGACUGGCAUGUUUCUUAUCAGAGCCGCUGCUUCGUCUAAAUAACCACAACGGCCAAGUAGGUCAACCACACAUGUAUAAUGUUCUAAUCUAGGCUUCAGACCAUACUUCUUUACCAUCAAAUCAAAGAAUUCCAUCCCUUUUUCCUUCAGACCACAAUGACUGCAAGCAUACAGCAAGCUCACAAAAGUAACAUCAUUUGCCUCGAAUUCUUUCUGCUCCAUCUGCUCAAACAAGUUGAUAGCUUCCUCUCCCUUUCCAUGAAAUCCAUAAGCAGCAAUCAUUGAACUCCACAAAACGACAUCCGAGUAUUCACAUUCCAGAAAAGCUUUCACUGAAUCAUCCAAACAACCACAUCUCGAAUACAUGCUAAUUAACGAACUAAUCACCCCAACAUCCAAACUAGCCCCAGCUUUAACCACUUCUGCAUGAAUCUGCUGACCUUGACCUAAUGUUGCCAAUUCCGAACAUGAACUAAUCACUCACAAAUGUAAUCUUGUCAGGCCUAAACCCUACCAUUCUCAUCAAAUUAUAUUGAUCCAAGACAUCCUCAGCAAGCCCAUUUUGAGCUUUUCCUGCAAUGAGUGUGAUCCAAGCAAUCACAUUGCAAACAGGCAUCAAUCUAAUCACCUUCUCUCCUUCUAGCAAGCUUCCACUUUUCAUAUACAUGUGAGCCAAUGAACUCCCAGCAACCAAAUCCAGCUCAAACCCACCUUUCACCACGUAACAAUGAAUUCGCCUCCCAGCAUCUAACCCUCUCAAACCAGCACACCCCCUCAAAACACUACCUAAAGUAAAUUCAUCAGGCAAAAAACCAACUUGAUGCAUUUCACUUAGUAAUCUCAAACCCUCCUCAUUAAACUCAAACUGAACCAAUCCCGCAACCAUCGCAUUCCAGGUUGCAAUAUUUCUCUUAGUCAUCCCAUCAAACACUUUCCGUGCACUCUCCAAAUCACCGCUCUGCACAUUCGCAUUGAUCAUAAUGUUACAAGACAUGGUAUUUCUCCUCGGCAUGAGACCAAACAGGGUAACAGCUGUUUGUAAUUGCCCAAUUUUUGAGUACAUGUUGAGCAAGUGAUUGCAAAUGAAAUUGUUUGAGGAACACCCAGAUGUGACGAUCAAAGAGUGAAGCUGUUUUGAACAUGAAAGUGAUUUUUUGAGCGUGCAUGAUUGGAUUAGAUGAGAGAAGAGAGUUGGGUCUGACCAUAUUUCAGAUUUAAAUCUGUUGACGGCUUCUUUUAUGUGUCCUUUUGAGCAUAAGUUGAUAAAUUCUUCUGUUGAGUCAACGAAAUUAGCAACUACUUCUGUGGCAGUCUUGGAGAAAAAACGAGGGCAAGACAUGUAUUGAUACUAGUUUUUAAGUUGAGCUGAUUUCGUAUGAUUCCGAAACUUAUAACUAUAAAAAGUCUGCACCUGUGGAUAGUGCUGAGAUUUUAUGCUUCAAAAAUCAGGUGCAAAGUAUUAUACAUUCAAGUGUAAACGUUCAAAGAGUGGCUGAAAUUUCAAGUAUGGAUAAUAUUAAUGCCACUCAAGUAGAUACAGAUAAUGGUGCUGGAACAGCUGGAGGGACCCUAUUUUCAGCUGGGAUUUCGACAAACUCUGAGAGGAUUGCCCGGAAUUCAUCCCCUGACAUCGUUUCCUUCUCAAGAAGAACUUCCACGAUCUUGUCAAUGGCUUCACGGUUGUUCCUUAUUUGGCUCAACGCAAUCUCAUAAGCACGGUCUGAUAGUCUCUUGACUGCGGCAUCGAUGUCUUCAGCAAGCUUCUCUGACAUUGAGUUCCUUGCCGUCAUUCUCAUGAUGACAUCACCACUGUGUGAUCCGUCCACGAACGACCAUGGGCCAAUUUCAGACAUUCCAAAUGUGGUUACCAUCUGCUGAAAAAAAGAAAAAAAAAAUAAUAUGCCUAAAUUUUAUUGAAAAUUGUUGGAGGAAUAAUUGACGGAGAAGGCAAAAACAGGAUUAUUAAAUUACCUGUUUGGCCAAGAAGUGAUUUGGAUUUGGGUUGGCAAGAUCAAGAAUCUAGCAAGAGCCUUCUAAAUAAUACCGAAAAGUAACUCCCACCACCUGUAUAUUGAUCCACUUUCUUAUUCAACAAAUCUCUGCAAAUCUUUAUAAUUAAUUUUGAUAUGGAUUUUUUUUCCUCCUUCACUCUGGUAAUUAACUUUUGUAUCCAUGUAGUGAUAAAGUAAAAUCUCUCUUUCUUUUAUCCUAAUGGUUCAUUUAUUUGCUUGAUAAAUAUCUUGUUACAGUCUUGUUUCCACAGUUAACUGACUUUUAAAUUACAAUUUUAUCUUUCAAUAAAUUAAAAGGACAUCACAUAAAAAUUAUUUUCUUUUUGUUUCUUUUUUUAACGGAGAAUCAAAGAUUUAGACUCUAUUUGGUACAGUUUUUCAAACAAAAUUUAUUUAAGCGGAGUUUUUGGUAAUAAAGCUUUUACAAAUGAAGCUUUCAUUUAAAAAAUUUUAAUUUUUUCAUAGUCAAUAAGAGUUUUUAUUAAAAAUUUAUAAAAUUAUUUUAAUAGAUAAAUUUUUUAAGUUAUCUUAUGAAAAAAUAAAAUAAUAUUGUCAAAUAAAUAAAAAAAUAUUUUGGAUAUUUUAACAUUUAAAAAAAAAAAUUUCAACCUCUAUUCCCAAAAAUCUAAAAUUUAGACUUUUACUAGUAGAGAAAAAUAAUUUAUUUAAGCUCUAAAAGUUCUAAAAAAAAACCAAAUAACAACAAAAAUUAUGAUAAGAGUUUAUGAGAUUAAAUAAGCACUUGGUUGUGGUCAUUAGAUAAGUCAAAUCAAACAGACACUUAUAAUGCCCUAAAAAAAUUAGUAGAUGAAUAUUUAGGGUUGAAAAAUAGUUUUUUUUUUCUCUUCGAAUUUUAAGGAAAAGAAUAGUUAUACUUCCUAAAAUUUGAGAAAAUAAUUAUCAAGAUCCCCUAAAUUUUGUAUUAUAAUUUUUGAGAAAUCUGAAUGCAAAGUCAAUUUUACCCUCGCAUAUGCACAUCCGUUUAUUAAUGACAUUUACAUAGAGAUUAGAAAUAAUUUGUCAACAAGUAAAGGAUGUUAAUUGGGCAAAGUGUCCUCUUUUUGGCAGCAAAGUAUUAAUGUUUAUUCCUCCAACAAACAUGAAACUGUUCUGCAUAUUUUCUUUCUUCUGGAUUCAUUUUAGUUCCUUUUUUACUAUUUCUCUUCGGUUUAAGUUUGUUCCUAUAAAUUUAAUUGCCUAUUGCUACUACCAGUUUUUAUUUUCCUUGUUACUCUGCUUCUGCUUGCAAUAUCAAAGCUAAAUGUAAUAUUUAUUGCACAGCUGAAGUGAUGAGUAAGCUUGAAUCCUUGGCUCAAGUGACAAAUAUAAAAUGCUGGUUCUUUUUCUCCAUUACAAUUCUAACAGAUAGUGAAGGAAAAAAAAUAAAAAAAAGAAGCAUAUCAGGCAUACUACAAUGAAAUGCCAAAGGAGAAAAAUGGCACAAUGUACAAUUAACAGAACUCAAAACAAGCUUAAAAAUCAAAUCUCAUGAACACAAAACAGUGGAUCUCAUACUCAUUAAUGAAUUUGGCCUGCACUCAAAUCUCAAUGAUGAACGUGCCUGAAAAUGAAUGUUCAUCUAGGAUUAGAAAGAACAGAUUCUGUUGGCCUGGAGGAGACAUGAUCACUAUUGACAAUGGAAACAUAUGGCAUUGCUUGUGCAAAUUUGUAAUCGACGUUUGCAUCUACUUCCAUUACUCCUUCCAACACCUUCACCACGGUUGACAUUGACGGCCUUUUUCCGGGAUCAUUCUGCAAACACCAGGCUCCAAUCUUAAUCAUUCUUAUCAUUUCAUCCAUAUGAUUUUCCACCUCUUCGCCGAAACUUUCCACGAUGUCAAACAGUCUGUCCUCCUUGGCCUUCUCCUGCAGCAGUCUGAGGAGAUGGCAGCUAGAUUCUGAUCGCGAACGAUCUAAGUUUCUCCGAGCACUGACCACUUCAAGAAGUACAAUUCCAAAGCUAUAUAUGUCAACUUUGACACUGAUUUUUGAUUUCCUCCAUUCCGGAGCAAUGUAUCCUGGAGUUCCUCUCAUUGUUGCCUGCACUAGGCUCUCGUCUCUCUCGAUUAGCUGAGCCAACCCAAAAUCAGAAACCUUGGCAUUGAAAUUUUCGUCCAAGAGAAUAUUUUGUGGCUUUAUAUCAAGAUGUGCCACUCUUCUCCGGCAAUCUUCAUGCAGAUAAGUCAAUCCUUUGGCUACAUCAAGUAUUAUUUUCUUCCUAGUUUGCCAGUCAAGACAAGGUCUCGGAUCUCUGACAAAAAUCCAUUUUUCCAAGGAGCCAUUGCUCAUGUACUCAUAAACAAGAAGCCUGCAGGAUUUCUCUACGCAAAAGCCAAUCAAUCUCACAAGAUUGAAAUGAUGCAAGCUACCGAUUGUCUCAACUUCUGCUACGAACUCCCUCAUCCCCUGCUCCAUUCUAUCCAGACGCUUUACAGCAAUUUUACUGCCGUCUUUUAAAACUCCCUUGAACACAGUUCCAAACCCCCCUCCUCCAAUUCUCUCUUUAAAAUCUUCUGUCGCAAUCUGUAAAUCUUCAUAUGAAAACCUCACAGGUAAUCCAGGAACUUGUUUCAUGUCAUCUUCCAAAUGUUCCUCCUCCUCUACGUUCCUCCGAACUUUCACAAUAUACAACACAAUUACAAUACAGAUAAUCAGAAGCCCACCAGCGGUUGAUCCUGCUACUACCGCCACCAAUUUUGUUCGUCCUUUUUUGGGUGAUUUUGGCCUGUUCUCUUCUGUUGGUGCUAUGCCUGUCACAGGUGGUGGUGCAUUUCCUUCUGGUGCUAAUGUUCCGUUUGUUGGAGUGAUGUAGGGUACAUUUCCUUCUGGUGCUAAUGUUCCGUUUGUUGGAGUGAUGUAGGGUACAUUUCCUUCUGGUGUUGAUGUUCCGUUUGUUGGAGUGAUGUAUGUUGGAGUGAUGUAUGUUGGAGUGAUAUAGGGUGCAUUUCCUUCUGGUGUUGAUGUUCGGUUUGUUGGAGUGAUGUAUGUUGGAGUGAUGUAGGCUGCAUUUCCUUCUGGUGUUAAUGUUCCGUUUGGAGUGAUGUAGGGAAUCAGAAGCCCACCAGCGGUUGAUCCUCCUGCUACCACCACCAAUUUUGUUCCUCUUUUUUUGGGUGAUUUUGGCAUGUUCUCUUCUGUUGGUGCUAUGCCCGUUACAGGUGGUGGUGCUUUUCCUUCUGGUGUUAAUGUUCCGUUUGGAGUGAUGGAGGGAUUUGGUGGACUCAGUGAUAUCUUUUCUGCUGAGGAUUUCCAAAUUAUUUUGCUUUCAUUGUUAAAGAGAGAAAGAUUUCCAUCCGGGUCAAGGUUCAUCCAGUGAACGGAGUUACCUGAGUGGUUGCUCGCCCAUAUCUGGGUGCCAUCCGAAUCUCUCAGCACCAAACCGUCCGUCUUUAGCUGCACCAUCGCGUUUGCUUUUACCGGGCGGGUCUUUGUUAGCUGACCAGACCACUCUGGGAUCAUUCCCUCUAACGGCAACAACUGAAAAAACAUAAGAGUUGCAGGUGCCAUUGCAGUAAAACCCACAAUAAAAAUCAAAAUCACCGGCGUCCUGUAAUAAGAGGAAUACUCUCAUCUGCCAUCCAUUUGUGAUGACAGAGUUGUUGUUGUACCAUGUAGAGGGAAGGCCUGAAUCCAAACAGUAAAUGUUGCUGGCCCUUACGUAACAAUUUCCCGUUGUUGCAGCCGAAGUUGGGAUGAUGUGUAAGCUAAUAAGAACGGAGAGAAUGGGAAACAAGCAGCGGAGGCUGCAGCUAGCCAUGAUCUGUGUGUUUGGAAUUGGGUGAGAGAGAUGAGAAAAAAGGGGUCACGAAGACAUUUUAAGUCAAGCAAGCUACAUAAAUAUCAUUCGUCUCUAUUUGAUGAUUCAUGGAAAAGUAUAUUCAUGUCUCAGUAUGUUCUUUCGGCUCCAACUUUGCUGUGAUUUUUUUUUUCGUUGUACGACAUGUGAUAAAAAUGUUGAGAAAUAUCACAUGGAAUUAGAAUGACCAUUUUGUGAAGUAUAACACAAAACUUGAAAAGGUGUAACGUUACUCAAUUUAACAUAUAUUUAUUAUGAAGUGUAACACAAAAUUUGUGGCGGUAAAACAUUGGGAAAUUGUCGAUCUAACACAAAUUGUCUCCUAAUAAUGUGCAUCGAUGCAUCUUGUGUGUGCAUGCGCGUGCGAUGAAUACACAAUAACUAGUGAAUGAUAGUGCUUAAAUACUAAAUUUAAUACGCAAACGACGUGCUCGCGUAUUAAUAUCUCACAUGAGCAACAUCACACACUAAAAAAUGGACAUAAUAUAUGCAUAUCAUCUUAAGGAUUCAUACAAUCAGGGAAUACUAAGUAGACAAUCUUUUAAGUUACAUUUAAUUUAAUGGAAGACUUAUUCAAUAUUAAAUUUGUAUCCUUUCAUGAUUAUUUCUUGGAAGAGUCGUGAUUGCCAUUUGCCAGCUAUAAUUAUUGUCCAACACGUCUUUGAGACUUUGACGAAGCGUUUAUGACUUCCACAAAAGCAAACAUAUAAAAGUAAAAACUAGAAAGCAACUGAAACUGAUAUCAGACUUUCCCAUGCAUGCUUGGCCUAACAGGUCAAUUAACAUUUUAAGAUUGAAGACAACCUACAGCCUUAUUUUCUUCACAGCUUUUGGGCAUAAUCUAAAUAAAUUAUUAUUUGAGUCAAACUAUUAUUUAAAAAAAUGCUUAGACCGCUCUAAAUGAGUUCAAACAUUCGGUCUGCCGUGUAAUAGAACUGGUCUAAACCCGAUUCUUAUAUUUGACUAAAUUUAAUAAUUCAAAACAAAUUAAGUAUGUUUGUAAAUUUCAUAAUCAAUUUUCUGGAUAUGGAAAAACAUCACAAAGAAAAGAAAAGGACUUUUCCUAAUUCAGCUUGAAAUUGGUAAUCAAAGAAGUAUGAAUACUCUUUUCUUUCCUUUUUGAUAUAAAGUUUACAAAACCAAUCUUUUGGCAGUAGAGCUUACAACUAUGAGAGCAAAGAGUCAUCUUCUUACCAGUAAUCUCCACAAGAGCAUUUCCCAUUUCUGAAAUGAUGAAAUCUACUGGCAUCUCGAACAAUAAUUUCUCUGUUUUUAAUUUCUGAAAUGUACUUAAUAGCAACAUGGCAAUCACUGCAGACGCGCAAGUUCUUCAUCACCCUUAUUGGUACACCCGUGGGUGUGUUCAUCAGGGCAAACGCAAUUGCAAGCUUUUCACUAUGGUGUUUCAAAUUAUAUUCCUUUUCCUCAUUGUCCAUGUCAUGCAUAUCAGCACCUGUAUCAGGGACAUAGCCCCGUAGCUUCAUCUCUGAUGUUAGUUCUUCCAAAUACAAAUCAAUCUCCAUCGAACUUGGAUGAGAUUUGUCGCCCAUGGUAAACUGAUGAACUUGAUUCUUUAUUUCUAACCAGCUUACACCUGGUUCCUUCUUCAC
rnacentral:lncRNA from 1 species